rnacentral:rRNA from 1 species
AAACAAGCGGUGAAUGCUUUGGGGUGGGGUGACUGCGUACCUUUUGUAUAAUGGGUCAGCGACUUAUAUUCUGUAGCAAGGUUAACCGAAUAGGGGAGCCGGAGGGAAACCGAGUCUUAAUUGGGCGUUAAGUUGCAGGGUAUAGACCCGAAACCCGGUGAUCUAGCCAUGGGCAGGUUGAAGGUUGGGUAACACUAACUGGAGGACCGAACCGACUAAUGUUGAAAAAUUAGCGGAUGACCUGUGGCUGGGGGUGAAAGGCCAAUCAAACCGGGAGAUAGCUGGUUCUCCCCGAAAGCUAUUUAGGUAGCGCCUCGUGAAUUCAUCUCCGGGGGUAGAGCACUGUUUCGGCUAGGGGGCCAUCCCGGCUUACCAACCCGAUGCAAACUGCGAAUACCGGAGAAUGUUAUCACGGGAGACACACGGCGGGUGCUAACGUCCGUCGUGAAGAGGGAAACAACCCAGACCGCCAGCUAAGGUCCCAAAGUCAUGGUUAAGUGGGAAACGAUGUGGGAAGGCCCAGACAGCCAGGAUGUUGGCUUAGAAGCAGCCAUCAUUUAAAGAAAGCGUAAUAGCUCACUGGUCGAGUCGGCCUGCGCGGAAGAUGUAACGGGGCUAAACCAUGCACCGAAGCUGCGGCAGCGAACGUAUCACCCAAGACAACUUUACGGAGUUGACGAUUGACGGAGCGAAGCGACGUCAAAGCGUUCAUUAAAGUCGAGUUGGCUUAGGGAUACGUUCGUUGGGUAGGGGAGCGUUCUGUAAGCCUGUGAAGGUGUGUCGUGAGGCAUGCUGGAGGUAUCAGAAGUGCGAAUGCUGACAUAAGUAACGAUAAAGCGGGUGAAAAGCCCGCUCGCCGGAAGACCAAGGGUUCCUGUCCAACGUUAAUCGGGGCAGGGUGAGUCGACCCCUAAGGCGAGGCCGAAAGGCGUAGUCGAUGGGAAACGGGUUAAUAUUCCCGUACUUGGUGUUACUGCGAAGGGGGGACGGAGAAGGCUAUGUUGGCCGGGCGACGGUUGUCCCGGUUUAAGCGUGUAGGUGUGUGUUCCAGGUAAAUCCGGUUCACUUUAACACUGAGGCGUGACGACGAGGCACUACGGUGCUGAAGCAACAAAUGCCCUGCUUCCAGGAAAAGCCUCUAAGCAUCAGGUAACAUCAAAUCGUACCCCAAACCGACACAGGUGGUCAGGUAGAGAAUACCAAGGCGCUUGAGAGAACUCGGGUGAAGGAACUAGGCAAAAUGGUGCCGUAACUUCGGGAGAAGGCACGCUGACACGUAGGUGAAGUGAUUUACUCAUGGAGCUGAAGUCAGUCGAAGAUACCAGCUGGCUGCAACUGUUUAUUAAAAACACAGCACUGUGCAAACACGAAAGUGGACGUAUACGGUGUGACGCCUGCCCGGUGCCGGAAGGUUAAUUGAUGGGGUCAGCGCAAGCGAAGCUCCUGAUCGAAGCCCCGGUAAACGGCGGCCGUAACUAUAACGGUCCUAAGGUAGCGAAAUUCCUUGUCGGGUAAGUUCCGACCUGCACGAAUGGCGUAAUGAUGGCCAGGCUGUCUCCACCCGAGACUCAGUGAAAUUGAACUCGCUGUGAAGAUGCAGUGUACCCGCGGCAAGACGGAAAGACCCCGUGAACCUUUACUAUAGCUUGACACUGAACAUUGAGCCUUGAUGUGUAGGAUAGGUGGGAGGCUUUGAAGUGUGGACGCCAGUCUGCAUGGAGCCGACCUUGAAAUACCACCCUUUAAUGUUUGAUGUUCUAACGUGGACCCGUAAUCCGGGUUGCGGACAGUGUCUGGUGGGUAGUUUGACUGGGGCGGUCUCCUCCUAAAGAGUAACGGAGGAGCACGAAGGUUGGCUAAUCCUGGUCGGACAUCAGGAGGUUAGUGCAAUGGCAUAAGCCAGCUUGACUGCGAGCGUGACGGCGCGAGCAGGUGCGAAAGCAGGUCAUAGUGAUCCGGUGGUUCUGAAUGGAAGGGCCAUCGCUCAACGGAUAAAAGGUACUCCGGGGAUAACAGGCUGAUACCGCCCAAGAGUUCAUAUCGACGGCGGUGUUUGGCACCUCGAUGUCGGCUCAUCACAUCCUGGGGCUGAAGUAGGUCCCAAGGGUAUGGCUGUUCGCCAUUUAAAGUGGUACGCGAGCUGGGUUUAGAACGUCGUGAGACAGUUCGGUCCCUAUCUGCCGUGGGCGCUGGAGAACUGAGGGGGGCUGCUCCUAGUACGAGAGGACCGGAGUGGACGCAUCACUGGUGUUCGGGUUGUCAUGCCAAUGGCACUGCCCGGUAGCUAAAUGCGGAAGAGAUAAGUGCUGAAAGCAUCUAAGCACGAAACUUGCCCCGAGAUGAGUUCUCCCUGAGACUUUAGGUCUCCUGAAGGAACGUUGAAGACGACGACGUUGAUAGGCCGGGUGUGUAAGCGCAGCGAUGCGUUGAGCUAACCGGUACUAAUGAACCGUGAGGCUUAACCUU